rnacentral:misc_RNA from 2 species
AACGCACAUUGCGCCCUCUGGUAUUCCGGAGGGCAUGCCUGUUCGAGCGUCAUGUAAAGAAAAAUCAAGCACUUUGCUUGGCCUUGGGCCCCUCGCCCCCGUCACAGGGGGCGGGCCCUAAAUGCGUCGGCGGUGGUCGAAGGCCUCGAGCGUAGUAGAUUAUUCCGUCUACGAGCGCCGGCGACCGCCCGCUUCCAGACAACCAAAUUUUUACCUAGACAUUGACCUCGGAUCAGGUAGGGAUACCCGCUGAACUUAA